AUAUUAAAGUUGUUGCAGUUAAAAAGCUCGUAGUUGGAUUUCGGAAGGUCCUUAGUAAUCCGCCCCUUCGGGGAGCGGGUUGCUGGCCUCCUAUGUUCCUAACGGUCCUCGUCCGCGAGGGCGGGGAAUCAACCGCUAGGAUCGUUUACUUUGAGGAAAUUAGAGUGUUCAAAGCAGGCGUAACUCGCCUCCGAAUACGUUAGCAUGGGAUAAUGGAAUACGACUUCGGUCUUGUUUCGUUGGUUUCGCUUGGCUGAAGUAAUGAUUGAUAGGGACAGUUGGGGGCAUUAGUAUUUAGUUGUCAGAGGUGAAAUUCUAGGAUUUACUAAAGACUGACCAAUGCGAAAGCAUUUGCCAAGGAUGUUUUCAUUAAUCAAGAACGAAAGUAGGGGGAUCGAAGACGAUCAGAUACCGUCGUAGUCUCUACCGUAAACUAUGCCGACCAGGGAUCCGGAGAGUUUGCAUGGAUGACUCCCCGGGCACCUUGUGAGAAAUCAUAAGUGUUUGGGUUUUG
rnacentral:rRNA from 1 species